rnacentral:rRNA from 1 species
UAGGGAAUCUUCCGCAAUGGGCGAAAGCCUGACGGAGCAACGCCGCGUGAGUGAUGAAGGUCUUCGGAUCGUAAAACUCUGUUAUUAGGGAAGAACAAAUGUGUAAGUAACUAUGCACGUCUUGACGGUACCUAAUCAGAAAGCCACGGCUAACUACGUGCCAGCAGCCGCGGUAAUACGUAGGUGGCAAGCGUUAUCCGGAAUUAUUGGGCGUAAAGCGCGCGUAGGCGGUUUUUUAAGUCUGAUGUGAAAGCCCACGGCUCAACCGUGGAGGGUCACUGGAAACUGGAAAACUUGAGUGCAGAAGAGGAAAGUGGAAUUCCAUGUGUAGCGGUGAAAUGCGCAGAAAUAUGGAGGAACACCAGUGGCGAAGGCGACUUUCUGGUCUGUAACUGACGCUGAUGUGCGAAAGCGUGGGGAUCAAACAGG